CUUCACGUUGAGCCCCACGCACAACACCUGAGCUGCUGUUUUGUUCGUUCGGCUCGCGUUACGC
rnacentral:pre_miRNA from 1 species